rnacentral:lncRNA from 1 species
AUGGGAGCGCCUGGUGCUCCGGUUUGUCCUCCAGGGAAACCUGUCCUUUCCCAGGCGGUGUGUGGGCUCCACCGAAGCUGCCCCGCAGCAGCCGCCGGGCGCUCCCGGGUGCACGGAGCUCCCUCACCGGACCCACCACCCCGGCUUCCCGCUAGGUGUCCUGUCCAGCGCACGAGGAGCGGCCCUUCGGGCAUCUCUCCACCCCCCCCCCGCCCCCGGGAGUGCAUCGGCACCCCGACUUGCCCCGUCCCACCCGGGCACGGCCAGGUGGCUUCCCCCGCCCUCGGGGUUCCUCCCGCCGCGGGCCGCGGCCUUCACGCGGGUGCAGCCCGCUCUUCCCUCCGUGUCAGACCCUGGCGGGAGGGGUCUCCGGCUGGGGGCGUCCAAGGAGCUGGAGCUUGGCCGCCGCCGCGGGAUGCCCGCCUGGUGGUGCCCUGGGGGUCCGUGGCCCCGCGGCCUGCCGCCGCCCACCAGCCUGUCCCGCACCCUCUCCCGGGGGUCCCGGGCACGCUUCAGCCGCGCCCGGCCCCGCGCAGGUUUCCUAGCAGCGCCGUGAAGCAGCCAGGCCUAGGCCGGCCCUUGCCCCCGCAGCUAGCGCCGCGUCCGCGCGGUUCUGUGGCUCCACAGGACCCAGAGCGGCCCGGGGGGGCCCGUGGCCUCCUGGGCGCCCUAUCUUUCUCACUCCCCCCUCGGCCUGCCCCGCGCAGCCCCCUCUCCAGGGCGGACCUUCGCCAACUCCCGAACACAGACCCUGGCCCUUCCCGCCUGGAAGCCCUUGUGGCUGCACCCGCCUUAAGGCCAAGAAAACCUCUCCUCGCGGCACGUGGGCCUCCCGCGGGUCCUUGCCUCCGUCCAGCGGCUACCACGAGGCCCGUCCCUGUCCUUUCCCGACUUUUCUCUGGUGCCUCUCCCUCCCCUCGGCCGCCCCUCCACCCUGGCCCCCUCGGUGCCCUCGUGGACCCAAGGUCCACCCAUAAGAGUUCAGCCCACGUGUUGCUUCCUCGAGGCUCCCCUCUUCCCGGGAUCUGCGGGCUCCUCGGCAGCCCUGCUUGCAGCCACACUCAGCAGCUCGCAGGGUCCCUUACCAGAGUGAACUGA